AAAGAUAAUUAGAUUCUGCCAUAAAUAAACUAGAGUUGCUGGACUAUUACUUUGGGUAGGAGAUUGGGGCUUCAUUAUAAUGUUAAGUCAAGGCUUAACAUCUACCUAAUGUUUUGACCAUAUAGUUUUGAUGUUAUUUUCUUUUUUGAUUGUGCUUCUGUCAUAUAUAAUGGAAUGCAACUCCUUCUAUAAUAUCAUCAAUGUUUAAAAAAUUUAGGCAAGACGAAGAAGCGUGGGAAUAGUAUACUGUUUGACAACGAGGGCUCUGAACGGUGUAAAGUUCGGCAAUUGUGUGAUUGUAUAUAAACUCUGAAUGCAAUUGUCUGCAUUCAUUCAACAUGUAAAGAAGAAGGGAACGACUGUGAAUGGUGCCGCGGUGGAGUAAUGAACAAGAAAGAGGUCG
rnacentral:lncRNA from 1 species